CAGGGUGACAUAGAGCGAUACUUGCACAAGAAUGUGUCUCUCUUUCGGUUUCACUUUUGUAUUUGCGGUACAGACUGCUGCUGCACCGUGCCGGCUGGCUAGGUUGCUCUACUUCAUCCAGCAGCUGGUGGAAGUAGAAGCAGACACCCACAGCUAAACCUUGAACUGAACUGAAAUCCAGAUGCAGAGGAGGAGGACUGAUGAGCAAAUGGGUCCACACCAGGCUGGUGAAACCUACAGAAAGAGCUGACCUGAACAAGGGAAACUCUCAGGCCCCAGACUGAUAGCUGGGAAAGCAGCUUGGGACUGAUCCUUACUCCCUGAAUGUGUACUUUGGGAGCGAGCAUUCCCUGUGAAUUGAUACUAUGGCAGCCCGGAUACAUGAAAGAGGGUCUAACCCCUCCACCAGAUGAUGACAGACUUUGAUGAUUCCCGGUGGAAGGCCUCACUCUCCUUGGGAAGCGGGUAGGGGUGGGUUGUGGGGUCAAUGCGGGGCAUGGGAGGAUGGGAAGGAUAGGGAAUGGGAGUGGAUUGAUGUGUAACAUAAGAUAGUUUCUAAAAUAAAAAUAAAGAAAUGUCAUUCUCAAAGAACUAAACAACCAUAGCAGGAGCUCGAACAAAGGCAUAAUAUAAUGAGUCAUAUUGGUAUAAACUACAUUUUAUCACCCACAAGAACCACAAUUCUGGAGAAUUACUAUCACAAUUAAGCACCUGUCUUUAGAGAUGAUUGUUAUUAGAGUUAAUUUAUUAUAAUAUGAAAGUGCAAAUUAUGAGGUCAUAUAUCAGUUACAAUAUUGUUUCUGCAUAAAGAAAAGUUUUAUUACAAAUACUGCAUAAAAGUAAAAACAAAUGAAAAUCAUAUAAAUAGGGUUCUGACAGAAAUCUUCAGAUAAUAUUUUUCUCCUUAAUAGGCUAAAUUUCAUAUGGAACACUUACACACAUAUUUGCGCAUGCGCGCACACACACACACACACACACACACACACACACACACACACAGAUUCAACACCGGACAUCCUUUUCUUUCCUGUGCUGUACGUGUUCCAUAUAGUUGGAUUUCUAACUUCACUGCACGCAUCUUAACUUUCAUGGGUAACCAUGGUCUUUUUUAUGGGACUUGUAGCAUGCCAAUGCAUUUCCGGGCAUCAGACACAUACAUGACUCCUGUUAUAUUCUUUUUAAUUAAUUUAAACCUGAUUAUAAUUUGAUAGUAUGGAGAUGAUUGAAAUAUAACUAUAGUUAAUGUUUCUUGAAAUGUAUCUCUUCCUAAGAGUUACAAGUUGAACAAUUAUAGGAAGUAAAUGUUUAAACACACUAGUUUUCCAGAAACUACUAUCUACAUUGAGAUUACAAAUCUGCUUCAAAAGGCUGUCGAUUAAUAUUGGGGUAUAAAAAUCAAAAUGAGCAUAUGAUAUCUGUUCUUAUAGCAAAAGAUUAUCUUUGGAACAUCUUACCUACUUGAUCUCUUUUUUUCUAAUUCUUGCUUCAGUUUUUUUUCUCUCCGUAGUCUUCUCAGCUUCUUUGUUUUCUUUUUCUUUUUUUUGAGAAACUGCUUUGCUAGGUAGCCCAUGCUGGCCUCAAACUUACCUAGAUCCUUUUGUUUCUCUGUCUGAAUGAUAAUGUUGCAUAUGGCCUAACUUUAUUCAACUCUAGCCUUGAAUCAUCAUUCAUUAUCUUACACAGUUUUAGUGGUGUGGAAAUCUGUGGACAGGUCAGUUAGGUAAUUCUUACAUGUAUUGUUAAUGAAUUUGAACUAGAUACCACCCAUCAGGCAGUAUUAUUUUUCAAUAAUUCAUUUUAAAUUGAUGAAUAACAUUGUAUACACUAGCUAUGUUGCGAGUGGUGCCUUGAAAUAAGCAAAUAUCAAGAAAUUACUAAAGCAUCAUGAAUAGAACAUAAAUUGUAAGAAAUAUUUGGUUUAUUUUUCAGUGAGAACACAUAAUUUAGCUCAUCAUGACAUAUUCCUUAACUCUGCUAUUAAUUUUGUGAAUUGAGGCAACAUACUUUUCAUGUUAUGCCUGAAUUGUUUCAUUCUUAGGAUGGAAAUUACAGUAAU
ensembl:lncRNA